UUAGGUCAAGAUAUUAAGGGCGUACGGUGGAUGCCUAGGCGCUAAGAGGCGAAGAAGGACGUGGCAAGCGGCGAAACGCCACGGGGAGCUGCAAGCGAGCGUAGAACCGUGGAUAUCCGAAUGGGGAAACCCGUUAGAGGCAAACCUCUAACAUCCUUACCUGAAAACAUAGGGUAAGGAGGCAAGACCCGGUGAACUGAAACAUCUAAGUAACCGGAGGAAGAGAAAUCAAAACGAGAUUUCCUAAGUAGCGGCGAGCGAAAGGGAAAGAGCCCAAACCUAAUAUGUGUAAGGCUGCAACCGUUGCAUAAUAGGGGUUGAGGGGCUAUUUAGGAACAACUUGCAGGUUGUUCAAAGCUUAAACUAACUAGUUAGGCGAACGUAUCUGGAAAGAUAGACCACAGAGAGUGAAAGUCUCGUAGCUAAAAACAAGUUAGAGCUUAAAAUAGACCCCGAGUACUGCCGGACACGUGGAACCCGGUAGGAAGCAGGGAGGACCACCUUCCAAGGCUAAAUACUCCUUAGCGACCGAUAGAGAAGAGUACCGUGAGGGAAAGGUGAAAAGCACCCCGGAAGGGGAGUGAAACAGAACCUGAAACCGUAUGCCUACAAGCAGUAGGAGCCCGAUUAAAACGGGUGACUGCGUACCUUUUGUAUAAUGGGCCAGCGAGUUAUGGUAUUAAGCAAGGUUAAAUCUAGAAAGGAUGGAGCCGUAGCGAAAGCGAGUCUUAAAAGGGCGAUGAGUUUAAUGCUGUAGACCCGAAACUGAGUGACCUAUCCAUGGCCAGGAUGAAGCGAUGGUAACACAUCGUGGAGGUCCGAACCAGAGUACGUUGAAAAGUGCGUGGAUGAGCUGUGGAUAGAGGUGAAAUGCUAAUCGAACUCAGAGAUAGCUGGUUCUCCCCGAAAUAGCUUUAGGGCUAGCGUCAAAGAAUUCCUUAUGGGGGUAGAGCACUGGAUAGGCUAGGGGCCCUACCAGGUUACCGAACCUUCCCAAACUCCGAAUACCAUAAGGUUAGAAAAUGGCAGUCAGUCUAUGGGUGAUAAGGUUCAUAGACGAGAGGGAAACAGCCCAGACCGUCAGCUAAGGUCCCAAAAUCUAUGCUAAGUGGGAAAGGAAGUAGAGUUGCUUAGACAGCCAGGAUGUUGGCUUAGAAGCAGCCACCAUUUAAAGAGUGCGUAAUAGCUCACUGGUCAAGUGGCUCUGCGCCGAAAAUUCAACGGGGCUAAGCAUAGUACCGAAGCUACGGAACCGAGAGGUUGGUAGGGGAGCAUUCCUAAAAGGCAGAAGCUAUACCGUGAGGAGUAGUGGACAAUUAGGAAGAGAGAAUGCUGGCAUAAGUAACGAGAAGGCAGGUGAGAAUCCUGCCCGCCGAAAACCUAAGGAUUCCUGGGGAAGGCUCGUCCGCCCAGGGUAAGCCGGGACCUAACCCGAGGCCGAAAGGCGUAGGGGAUGGACAACUGGUUGAGAUUCCAGUGCCACCUGUAAGCCGUUAUCAGCGAAGGGGUGACGCAGGAGGGUAGGUGAAGCGCACGGAUGGAAGAGUGCGUCCAAGCACGUAGGGUGCCAGGUAGGCAAAUCCGCCUGGCAAAAAGCCUGAGGUGUUAAGGGAAGGGAAAAAUAGUACCGAAGUCACUGAGCCCAAACUGCCAAGAAAAGCCUCUAGUGAGGAAAACAGGUGCCCGUACCGAAAACCGACACAGGUAGGUGAGGAGAGAAUCCUAAGGCGCGCGAGAGAACCCUCGUUAAGGAACUCGGCAAAAUGACCCCGUAACUUAGGGAGAAGGGGUGCUCUGCUAGCGUGAAUAUAUAACCAUAUAUGAGCGUGAGAGAGCCGCAGUGACCAGGCCCAGGCGACUGUUUACCAAAAACACAGGUCUCUGCAAAAUCGAAAGAUGAAGUAUAGAGGCUGACGCCUGCCCGGUGCCGGAAGGUUAAGGGGAAUGGUUAGCUUUCGGGCGAAGCUAUGAACCGAAGCCCCGGUGAACGGCGGCCGUAACUAUAACGGUCCUAAGGUAGCGAAAUUCCUUGUCUGGUAAGUUCAGACCCGCACGAAAGGCGUAACGAUCUGGGCACUGUCUCAACGAGGGACUCGGUGAAAUUGUAGUACCGGUGAAGAUGCCGGUUACCUGCGAUAGGACAGAAAGACCCCGUGGAGCUUUACUGUAGCCUGAUAUUGGAUUUUGGUAGUACAUGUACAGGAUAGGUGGGAGACUAAGAAGGUAGGUCGCAAGGCUUACUGGAGUCACUGGUGGGAUACCACUCUUGUACUGCUGGAAUUCUAACCUAGCACCGUAAUCCGGUGCAGGGACAGUGUCAGGUGGGCAGUUUGACUGGGGCGGUCGCCUCCCAAAGAGUAACGGAGGCGCCCAAAGGUUCCCUCAGCGCGGAUGGAAAUCGCGCGAAGAGUGUAAAGGCAAAAGGGAGCUUGACUGCGAGAGAGACAUUUCGAGCAGGGACGAAAGUCGGGCUUAGUGAUCCGGCGGUACCGAGUGGAAGGGCCGUCGCUCAUCGGAUAAAAGCUACCCCGGGGAUAACAGGCUUAUCUCCCCCAAGAGUCCAUAUCGACGGGGAGGUUUGGCACCUCGAUGUCGGCUCAUCACAUCCUGGGGCUGGAGAAGGUCCCAAGGGUUGGGCUGUUCGCCCAUUAAAGUGGUACGUGAGCUGGGUUCAGAACGUCGUGAGACAGUUCGGUCCCUAUCCAUCGCAGGCGUAGGAAAAUUGAGAGGAUCUGUCCCUAGUACGAGAGGACCGGGAUGGACAGACCGCUGGUGUACCAGUUGUCUCGCCAGAGGCACAGCUGGGUAGCUAUGUCUGGGAAGGAUAAGCGCUGAAAGCAUCUAAGCGCGAAGCCAUCCUCAAGAUAAAUUUUCCCAUUCCGUCAAGGAAGUAAGAUCCCAUCAAGAUUAGGUGGUUGAUAGGUCGGGAGUGUAAGUGUAGCAAUGCAUUAAGCUGACCGAUACUAAUAGAUCGAGGGCUUGACCUAAAA
rnacentral:rRNA from 1 species